rnacentral:rRNA from 1 species
AGAGUUUGAUCCUGGCUCAGGAUGAACGCUGGCGGCGUGCCUAAUACAUGCAAGUCGAACGAAACUUCUUUAUCACCGAGUGCUUGCACUCACCGAUAAAGAGUUGAGUGGCGAACGGGUGAGUAACACGUGGGCAACCUGCCCAAAAGAGGGGGAUAACACUUGGAAACAGGUGCUAAUACCGCAUAACCAUAGUUACCGCAUGGUAACUAUGUAAAAGGUGGCUAUGCUACCGCUUUUGGAUGGGCCCGCGGCGCAUUAGCUAGUUGGUGGGGUAAAGGCUUACCAAGGCAAUGAUGCGUAGCCGAACUGAGAGGUUGAUCGGCCACAUUGGGACUGAGACACGGCCCAAACUCCUACGGGAGGCAGCAGUAGGGAAUCUUCCACAAUGGGCGAAAGCCUGAUGGAGCAACGCCGCGUGGGUGAAGAAGGUCUUCGGAUCGUAAAACCCUGUUGUUAGAGAAGAAAGUGCGUGAGAGUAACUGUUCACGUUUCGACGGUAUCUAACCAGAAAGCCACGGCUAACUACGUGCCAGCAGCCGCGGUAAUACGUAGGUGGCAAGCGUUAUCCGGAUUUAUUGGGCGUAAAGGGAACGCAGGCGGUCUUUUAAGUCUGAUGUGAAAGCCUUCGGCUUAACCGGAGUAGUGCAUUGGAAACUGGGAGACUUGAGUGCAGAAGAGGAGAGUGGAACUCCAUGUGUAGCGGUGAAAUGCGUAGAUAUAUGGAAGAACACCAGUGGCGAAAGCGGCUCUCUGGUCUGUAACUGACGCUGAGGUUCGAAAGCGUGGGUAGCAAACAGGAUUAGAUACCCUGGUAGUCCACGCCGUAAACGAUGAAUGCUAAGUGUUGGAGGGUUUCCGCCCUUCAGUGCUGCAGCUAACGCAAUAAGCAUUCCGCCUGGGGAGUACGACCGCAA